AGAUAUGCUACAGAACACCGAUAGCGAAGGCAGCUUACUAAACUGAAACUGACGCUCAUGCACGAAAGCGUGGGGAGCAAACAGGAUUAGAUACCCUGGUAGUCCACGCCCUAAACGAUGAUCACUCGUUGUUGGCAAUUAUAUCGUCAGCGACUAAGCGAAAGCAUUAAGUGAUCCACCUGGGGAGUACGAUCGCAAGGUUGGAACUCAAAGGAAUUGACGGGGGCCCGCACAAGCGGAGGAGCAUGUGGUUUAAUUCGAUGAUACGCGAGGAACCUUACCUGGGUUAGAACGCAGAACGACGUUUCGGGAAACCGGAAUUCUCUUCGGAGCGAUCUGCGAGGUGCUGCAUGGUUGUCGUCAGCUCGUGCCGUGAGGUGUCGGGUUAAGUCCCAUAACGAGCGCAACCCCUAUUCUUAGUUGCCAUCAGGUAAUGCUGGGGACUCUAAGAAAACUGCCUACGCAAGUAGUGAGGAAGGCGGGGAUGACGUCAAAUCAGCACGGCCCUUAUGUCCAGGGCUACACACGUGCUACAAUGGCCGGUACAGAGGGCAGCCACCUGGUGACAGGGAGCAAAUCUCCAAAGCCGGUCUCAGUUCGGAUCGAAGUCUGCAACUCGACUUCGUGAAGUUGGAUUCGCUAGUAAUCGUAUAUCAGCAACGAUACGGUGAAUACGUUCCCGGGCCUUGUACACACCGCCCGUCAAGCCAUGGAAGCUGGGGGUGCCUGAAGUCCGUGACCGAAAGGAGCGGCCUAGGGUAAAAUCAGUGACUGGGGCUAAGUCGUAACAAGGUAACCGUA
rnacentral:rRNA from 1 species